UACGAAGGGGGCUAGCGUUGCUCGGAAUUACUGGGCGUAAAGCGCACGUAGGCGGCUCUUUAAGUCGGGGGUGAAAUCCUGGAGCUCAACUCCAGAACUGCCUUCGAUACUGAAGAGCUCGAGUCCGGGAGAGGUGAGUGGAACUGCGAGUGUAGAGGUGAAAUUCGUAGAUAUUCGCAAGAACACCAGUAGCGAAGGCGGCUCACUGGCCCGGUACUGACGCUGAGGUGCGAAAGCGUGGGGAGCAAACAGG
rnacentral:rRNA from 1 species